CUUGUGCCAGCAGCCGCGGUAAUUCCAGCUCCAAUAGCGUAUAUUAAAGUUGUUGUGGUUAAAAAGCUCGUAGUUGGAUCUCAACAGCCUUGAAGCGGUUAACUUUGUAGUUUUACUGCUUUAUAGGCUGUGCUUUUGCUGGAGGUUUAGGGGUGCUCUUGAUCGAGUGUCUCUGGAUGCCAGCAGGUUUACUUUGAAAAAAUUAGAGUGCUCAAAGCAGGCUUUUCACGCUUGAAUAUUCGUGCAUGGAAUAAUGGAAUAGGAACUCGUUUCUAUUUUGUUGGUUUUCGGAAAUCGAGUUAAUGAUUAACAGGGACAAUUGGGGGCAUUAGUAUUCAGACGACAGAGGUGAAAUUCUUGGACCGUCUGAAGACUGACUACUGCGAAAGCAUUUGCCAAGAGUGUUUUCAUUAAUCAAGAACGAAAGUUAGAGGUUCGAAGGCGAUCAGAUACCGCCCUAGUUCUAACCAUAAACGAUGCCAGCUAGCGAUCUGCCGAGUUUUUUUUGUAGGCUCCGCAGGAAGCUUUCGGGAAACCAAAGCUUUUGGGUUCCGGGGGAAGUAUGGUUGCAAAGCUGAAACUUAAAGGAAUUGACGGAAGGGCACCACCAGGAGUGGAGCCUGCGGCUUAAUUUGACUCAACACGGGAAAUCUCACCAGGCCCGGACACUGGAAGGAUUGACAGAUUGAGAGCUCUUUCUCGAUUCGGUGGGUGGUGGUGCAUGGCCGUUCUUAGUUGGUGGAGCUCGAUUUGUCUGGUUAAUU
rnacentral:rRNA from 1 species